ensembl:lncRNA
CUGUAUGUAUUUUAAAACGUAUUUCACUUGAUAGGACCUCUAGUGCAAUAGUGAAUAGAAGUGGUAAGAGCAGAUAUUCGUUACUUACUUAAAAUCUUAGAGGAAGAGAUUAAAACAUUCAGCAUUUCACCAUUAAUUAUGAUUUUACCUAUAUGCUUAACAUAUAUGUUCUUUUUCAGGUUAAAUUUCUCUUCUUAGUUUGCUGAGAGUUUUUAUCACAAAUUAAUAUUGGAUUUUAUAAAUUUUUUUAGCACCUAAUGAGUUGAUCAUAUGGUUUUCCCUUUUUAUUCCGUUAAUACAGGUUAACCAUCCUUAAUCCAAAAAUCCAAAAUUCCAAAUGCUCCAAAAUCUGCAACUUUUUUGAGUGCCAACAAUGACGCCCUGCCCCAAGUGGAAAAUUCCAUGGUUAUAUCUACCAAGGAAGGAUGGAAAGAAAGAGAAACUUCAAUGCUACGUCGCAUACCCGGGACCAAUCUCUGAUAAGGAAUAUACCUAUAGCCACUUAGCCAGCAAGCAACAGAACUGGAAUUCAGCUGCAUAGUCUGGGCCCAUGGUCCACACUCUUCACUGCUUCAUAGCCUCCACAGUCAAAAAUCCAUGUGUAACUUUUGACUCCCCUAAAACUUAACUACGAAUAGCCUACUGUUGACUGGAAGCCUUACUGAUAAUAUAAAUGAUUGAUUAACACAUAUUUUGUAUAUGUAUUAUAUACUUCAUUCUUAUAAUAAAGUAAGCCAGAGAAAAGAAAAUAUUAAGAAAAUCAUAAGGAAGAGAAAACAUAUCUAUUAUUCACUAAGUAGACGUGAUUAGCAUAAGGUCUUCAUCUUUGUCAUCUUCACACUGAGUAGGCUGAGAAGGAGGAUGAGGAGGAGGGGUUGGUCUUGCUGUCUCAGGAGUGGCAGAGGUGGAAGAAAAUCCAAGUAUAUGAUAAAUCUGUGCAGUUAAAACCCAUGUUGGGAGGUGCUGGGAAAAUGGCAGAUGGGAGGCAGGACUAACUUACAGAUCCUACUCAGACAGAGCAGUGAAUGGAGACCCACAUUGUGAAUUGUUGCUCCAAGAACUAAAGGAACAUACCAGGAAAGCAGAGAGAAUUCACAGGCCCUUUGAAGGAGGUGGAUUGCUGCUGCAGACUCGGUGGGACAGCCAAGGGACUGUGAGUCUGAUUGCUUUCUCAGCUGGGAGGCUUGUAGCCUGGUGCAAGUUCUAAGCCCUGCUCACCAGCUGCCUGGAAAUAAACUCAGUGCUGUUGGGGGAACAUGAUGGGAGUGAGAUCAGCCUUUCCAUCUAUGGGCUCUAUGGGAGCUGGGUGAGGCGUGUGGCUGCUAGCUUUCCCCCACUUCAGUGAUGACCUGUGAUACAGCAGAGACAGCCAUAAUCCCCCUAGGAACAUAACUCCAUUGGCCUGGGAACCACACCCCCAUCCCCUGCAGCAGCUGCAGCAAGCCCUACUCAAGGAGAGACUGAGCUCAGACAUGCUUAACCCUGCCCCCACCUGAUAGUCUUUCUCUAUCUGCCCUGGUAGCUGAAGAAAAAUGACAUAAUCUCUUUGGAGUUCUAUGGCUCGCCCACUGCCUGAUACUCCCUAUACUACAACUGAUGUUCUCUUAAAAGUGCCACCUCCUGGCUGAAGGCCAACCAACACAAAACCAGUGCACCUAAAAAUACAACGAAGGACCCUCACAGAGUCCACCACUUCACUCCCCUGCUACCUCCACUGGAGCGGGUGCUGGUAGCCAUGGCUGAGAGACCUGAAGAUGGUUCACAUCACAGGACUCUUUGCAGACACUCCCCAGUACCAGCCCAUGACCUGGUAAUUCCACUGGGUAGCUAGAUCCAGAAGAAAACUAACGAAGUUCAGCUGUCAGGAAGCCCCAUCCUUAGGGGAAAGGGGGAGCACCACAUCAAGGGAGCACCCCAUGGAACAAAAGAAUCUGAACAGCAGCCCUUGAGCCUCAGAUCUGCCUUCUGACAUAGUUUCCUCAAAUGAGAAGGAACUAGAAUAACAAUUUGGGUAAUAUGACAAAACAAGGUUCUUUAACAUCCCCAAAAGAUCACACUAGCCCACUAGCAAUAUCUCCAAACCAAAGAUAAAAAUUUUUGAAUUGCCAGAAAAAGAAUUCAGAAGGUCAACUAUUAAGCCAAUCAAGGAGGCACCAGAGAAAGGUGAAGUCCAACUUAUAGAAAUCAAAAAAAGAUACGGGAUAUAAAUGGAAAAAUCUCCAUAUUGAUAGCAUAAAUAAAAAAACAAUCAAAACUUCUGGAAAUGAAGGACACACCUAGAGAAUUGCAAAAUGUACUGGAAGGUCUCAAGAAUAGAAUAAAAAAGAACUUCAGGCUUUCAAAUUAACCCAAUCCAACAAACACAAAGAAAAAAGAAUUUUUUAAAAAUGAACAAAGCCUCCAAGAAGUUUGGGAUUAUAUUAAAUGACCAAACCUAAGAAUAAUUGGUGUUCCUGAGGAAUAAGACAAAUCUAAAAGUUUGGAAAACAUAUUUGAAGGAAUAAUCAAGGACAACUCCCUAAGUCUUGCUAAAGAUCUAGACAUCCAAAUAUAAGCAGCUCGAACAACUGGGAAAUUCAUCACAAAAAGAUCAUUGCCUAGGCUCAUAGUCA